CCAUGGCCCCCUUCUGUUCUUGUUUCCUUUCUGUGGCCCCCAUGACCAACUGGCCCUCUCAUCUUGUGCCAGGACCCAUUUAUAUGAUUGAGGCCACCUUGGAAUUUCCUGAGAAUUCCUGUUCUACAUUACUGGGAUUAAGCCAGCGCAUUUAAGGGAAAGUGCUGACUGUGCAAUCGGAUCAUGUUGUUGGCUGCUUCGGAGGCGGAGGCGGCUCCCACACCAGCAACCGCUGGUUCCAGCAAUGAGGGAUUCUGAGGGAACACAGCUCAAGAGCAUGUAGGUUGUCUGUGACUCAGCUAAGAGGGGCUGAAACUGUGUCCCUGGACUUGGAUUCAGUCUGUGUACCUUUUUCAUGUCUUUCC